ACAACCUUACCUGAACAGGAUCUGUUCUAUAGGCUCGUAUAUCCUUGAAUUCUAAGGAGACAGGAAUCUAAGUCUGGUGGAUGACUCGUGGCCAUUAGACCAGAGCGUGAUUAAUAGUCCCCAUGGCCUUUGGGGUCAUGGUGCCCUAUCUGACAGACU
rnacentral:snoRNA from 1 species